rnacentral:RNase_P_RNA from 2 species
AGAGUUGGCGAAGGCGGUUGCGGGUCAGUGGCGAUCGCCACUGGCCUGAGGAAAGUCCGGGCUCCCGAAAGACCAAACUUGCUGGGUAACGCCCAGUGCGGGUGACCGUGAGGAGAGUGCCACAGAAACAUACCGCCGAUGGAGGGUUUGGGGGCGAUCGCCCCUGAGCCAGAUCUCACAGGUAAGGGUGCAAGGGUGCGGUAAGAGCGCACCAGCAGCGUCGAGAGGCGCUGGCUCGGUAAACCCCGGUUGGGAGCAAGGUAGAGGAGCGACGGUUGGUCUUUUACCGGUUCCGCUUAGACACCGCUAGAGGCGUCUGGUAACAGGCGUCCCAGAUAGAUAACUGCCUUCUGGGCUGUGCUUGCAGCCUGGAAAACAGAACCCGGCUUAUGCCCAACUCUGCUU